rnacentral:lncRNA from 1 species
CCAAUCCUUCGCCGGAUGCCUCGGAGGCCCUACCGUCGUCUAGAGCCGUCUCCACUGCUCUGUACCCUCCGUCGCACGUUGUCGAUGUCACAUCGAUCGCCACCACGCCCUGAUCUUCUUCCUCCUCUCAAUCCGACCCCAAGCAGGCGCUCCUCCGCUCUCUCUCUCAGAAUCCGACGAUCUCCUUCUUCUUCCUUACAUCGAGCGCGGUCGUAA